rnacentral:rRNA from 1 species
UGGCGGCGUGCUUAACACAUGCAAGUCGAACGAUGAUGCUCCAGCUUUGUUGGGGUGGAUUAGUGGCGAACGGGUGAGUAACACGUGAGUAACCUGCCCUCUUCUUUGGGAUAACGGUCGGAAACGGCUGCUAAUACUGGAUAUUCACUCAUUGGCGCAUGUUGGUGGGUGGAAAGGUUUUUUCUGGUGGGGGAUGGGCUCGCGGCCUAUCAGCUUGUUGGUGGGGUGAUGGCCUACCAAGGCUUUGACGGGUAACCGGCCUGAGAGGGUGACCGGUCACAUUGGGACUGAGAUACGGCCCAGACUCCUACGGGAGGCAGCAGUGGGGAAUUUUGCACAAUGGGCGCAAGCCUGAUGCAGCGACGCCGCGUGAGGGAUGAAGGCCUUCGGGUUGUAAACCUUUUUCGCUCAUGGUCAAGCCGCAGCUUUGGGUUGUGGUGAGGGUAGUGGGUAAAGAASCGCCCGCUA